GACAGAGGUGCCGAGCGUUAGGCGGAAUCACUGGGCUUAAAGCGUGUGUAGGCGGGCGGGCAAGUACCUUGUGAAAUCCCACGGCUCAACCGUGGAACGGCUGGGUAUACUGCCUGUCUUGAGCCAACUAGGGGCGAGCGGAACAGACGGUGGAGCGGUGAAAUGCGUAGAUAUCGUCUGGAACGCCGAAGGUGAAAACAGCUCGCUGGGGUUGUGCUGACGCUGAGGCACGAAAGCCAGGGGAGCAAACGGG
rnacentral:rRNA from 1 species